AUGCAGGAUCCAUUUUCAGUUUGGACUCUGAUCAGGAAGAGACUCUUCCCACCAAAGAGGCUUUACAACCCUUCCCAGCAACCAGCAUGCAGAGAGCCGAGCUGCCACAACUGAUGAAUCCUCCCUGGGAAAACGCAGCUCCAGCACCACCCGUGAACAAGACAGUGCUCCUGCAUAAGUGAACAAGACCAAGACCCUGUGUGAUCUGCAAGCUGCUGUACCUUAGUGGAGCUCUCGGUCCCAAGGGAAGAUGAUUAUUUUUGCCUGUUGAGUUUUGCCUGUUGAUAGGACGUCAGUCUUUACAUGUGGCUAUUCUGCGCAUAUAUGGAGGAAGCUGGAGAGAUGGAAACCUGAUGAUACCCUCAGAGACCCUGGAUACAGCUAAGCCUAAGGGCCUUUGAGUUGGUGACUCAGGAUUUUACUGUGAUGUAUUGAUGACCUGGAUCUCUGAGGAAAAGUGUUCUGAUUUGCAAAAUUUGCCAUGUUCCAUGUGAAAAUACUCCCACUGUGGCCAACUGCAAGAUGGUCUCACAGUGGACUUGCAGCAUUUCUGAAAUUUUAACAAUUGGCUCUUCUGGUGUGCAAACUCAGCACACCAGAUGUCUCUAAUUCCAGGACAUGGGAACAUGAAAAUGUUGUUACUUUCCUCUCACUCUGACCUCUGUGGAGGAGUCAGAAGUAUGAAAUAUGAGCCAUGCCUGCCUUCAGGGGAGUUUUGGUCUAGUUCAGGAGACAAAACUAACACCUUUGGAACACUCCAAGAGUUUUUCAAGAAUCAGUGCUUUCUCCAACAUCUCUGCCUGAACAUCCAAUAAGAAUAUCAAACUCGCCAAAUCCAAAAUAGGUUUCUUGGAUUUCCUCCACAAGCUGUAUUGCAUUUCCCCAAUGUCACUUCAAUAAAUAACUUCCACCAAGUUUUCAAACUAAAAGAUAAGGAGUCACCCUUGAUUCCGUCCUAUUUCUCAACCCCCUGUCCAAUCCAGAAACAAGUCUUGUAUGCCCACCUCCAAAACUUGUCUUAAACCAUCCGCUUCCCAGCAUCCCCCUGCAAUAACCCUCAUCCAACCCCUUUUUAUACUUCUCCUGCCUCCAGGUUUCAAUGUCUUCCAUUCUCCUUCACCAUCCACCAGGGCCAGCUUUUUUUUUCCCUCCAUUCCUCAAUGCUCCCCACUGUUAGCAUGGUUAGCCCCUUCUCUUCAGACAGCUGUUUGAAUCUCACCUCCUUACAGAAAUCUUCUCUGCCAAUCCUAGCCUAUCUAAAGUAGCUCUCCCUACCUGACCAGUAAUUCCCCAUUCCACUAACCAAAGUACUUACUUAGCACAUACUUUGUUUACUUGUUUAUGGCCUGCUCCUUCCCAACAUACACAAAAUCAGAGUAGGAACAUUUUAUGCCUGUUUUCAUUCUAUGUCUUUUGCCUAGCACAGCCCUUAACACAUAGUAGGCAUUAAAUAAAUAUGUGUUACAAGAACGAAUGAAUAAGUGAAAGGGUGAAUGAUAAGGGGAAGGCAGGAAGAUAUGAUGUUUCAAAGUUCCCUUUUGGCUCUAACAUUUUAGGAAUUAGUGGACUUAAGACUAUAAUUUUGUACCUUCUGAUGUGGGCCCAGGUCUUAAAGUAGAGCAGAAGUUAGCGGGAGGCAGAUAAAUAAAAGCAGUCAGCAACGUCAGAGGUGACUCCCUGGAGGAAGUGGUAAAUACGCCGGGCUUUUCCAGCCUUCAUAAAUACCUACACAAUAGACAUCUGUCACCUUAUGAAAAGUUUCACCAUAAUCUUUAUUUCAAUUGCCAGCUACUCUAUUUCAAAUGUGACCAUGAUUAUAAAAACUUGAUGGACACACUUUUCAGGAACAUCUACCUUCUAAACUGUAGUGUCCUUAAAUGUCUGUGGGGUGUGUGUGUGUGUGUGUGUGUGUGUGUGUGGUUAUUGGGUUUAAUUUGACACAGAUAAGAACAUACAACUUGACCCCCCUAGCUGGCUUGAUAUCUAAAGGAAGGAUCUGUUCCACACCUCAGAGAAGACCCACUUAGGACAGGAAGUGAGUCAUCUGUGUUCCACAGAGGACCAGUCACAGUUUGGACUAUACUAAAUGUGAAACACAUUAAACUGGAACGAAAUCAUGACAUAUGUGCUCCCUCCCACACUGUGGGAUAUUUCAUAACCUCUUGGUACUUUACCCUGAUCCUUUCAGGACUGGAGAGUCUUUGGAAAUCACCUGCCUGACCCUCUUACUCCCUGGGGGAAACUGAGGCCCAGAGAAAGUGGUGCCUUGUCCAAGUUCACAUAGCAUAUUUAGAGCAGGGCCAUCAGGGCCAGAAUCAGAUCCCUGUCCUGAAUCCCUGUCAAACAUCUUAUAGAAAUAUAUACCUGUAAUCCAAUUAUUUUGUUCUG